CAUCUUAUAUUAUUUUAUCAUCAUCAUCAUCAUCAUCAUCAUCAUCAUCAUCAUCGUUGUAUAGGGUUAUUCAUCAGAGCCUGGUACUCAUUUAUAGACAGGAUAUCCAGAAAGUCCCAGGAUCCACCUGUCUCUGCCUCCCUAGUUCUGAGAGAGAAGCAUCGGCCUCCAUGCCUAGCAUUUUGCCUAAGAUCUGAUCUGAGGAUCAAAUUGGUUUUAAUGCUUAUACAGCAAGCACUUUACCAAAUGAGUUCUUUUGCCAGGCCAGCUCCAAUCUUUCCCAGUGUGUUUCUUGUGUGCUUGGCUGUUUCUAGGUGAAAAUCCCCCCACCCCCACUUUUUAAAAAAUAUUUAUUUGAUAUAUGUGAGUAAACUCUCACUGUCUUUAGACACUCCGGAAGAAGGCAUCAGAUCCCAUUACAGAUGGUUGUGAGCCACCAUGCGGUGGCUGGGAAUUGAACUCAGGACCUCUGGAAAAGCAGUCAGUGCUCUUAACCUCUAACCCAUCUCUCCAGCACCCUCACCCCCUUUUAAAAUAUUAGUUUUUAUUUUAUGUGUUUGGAUAUUUUUGGCUGCAUGGAUGCCUUUGUUCCAUGUCUAGGUACCAUGCCUGUGCAGUGUCCACAGAAGCCAGAAGAAGAUGCCAGAUCCCCUUAGAACAGAAAUUAUAGAUAGUUGUGAGCCACCACGUAGGUGCUUGGAAUUGAACUGUGGUCCUCUAGAAGAGCAGUCAGUGCUCUUAACCACUGAGCCAUCCCUCCACCCCCCGUCUC
rnacentral:lncRNA from 1 species